rnacentral:rRNA from 1 species
GGGCCCGCACAAGCAGUGGAGUAUGUGGUUUAAUUCGAAGCAACGCGAAGAACCUUACCAGGUCUUGACAUCCAACUAACGAGGCAGAGAUGCGUUAGGUGCCCUUCGGGGAAAGUUGAGACAGGUGGUGCAUGGUUGUCGUCAGCUCGUGUCGUGAGAUGUUGGGUUAAGUCCCGCAACGAGCGCAACCCUUAUUGUUAGUUGCUACGCAAGAGCACUCUAACGAGACUGCCGUUGACAAAACGGAGGAAGGUGGGGACGACGUCAAAUCAUCAUGCCCUUUAUGACCUGGGCUACACACGUACUACAAUGGCGAUCAACAGAGGGAUGCAAGACCGCGAGGUGGAGCUAACCCCUAAAAGUCGUCUCAGUUCGGAUUGCAGGCUGCAACUCGCCUGCAUGAAGUCGGAAUUGCUAGUAAUCGCGGAUCAUCAUGCCGCGGUGAAUACGUUCCCGGGCCUU